rnacentral:lncRNA from 1 species
GUUUUCCCGGCUAGGCUCUGGAGCGGCGGGCGCGGCGCGAUGCGCGGGUACCCGGGAGCGAACGGCUGCAAGCCCCGAUGAAGCUCGAGCAGCCCCAGCCUGAUGGAGGCGCCUCCGUGGGAGCCGGUGCGCAAUGACUCCCUGCCUCCCACGCUGAGCCCCGCGGUGCCGCCCUACGUGAAGCUCGGCCUCACCGCGGUCUACAACCGUCUUCUACGCGCUCCUCUUCGUGUUCAUCUAUGCGCAGCUCUGGCUGGUGCUGCGCUACCGUCACAAGCGGCUCAGCUACCAGAGCGUCUUCCUCUUCCUUUGCCUCUUCUGGGCCUCGCUGCGUACCGUGCUCUUCUCCUUUUACUUCCGAGACUUCGUGGCAGCCAACUCGUUCAGCCCCUUCGUCUUCUGGCUGCUCUACUGCUUCCCCGUGUGUCUACAGUUCUUCACCCUCACGCUCAUGAACUUGUACUUCACGCAGGUGAUUUUCAAGGCCAAGUCAAAAUAUUCUCCAGAGCUACUCAAAUACCGGUUACCCCUCUACCUGGCCUCACUUUUCAUCAGCCUCGUUUUCCUGUUGGUGAAUCUGACCUGUGCUGUGCUGGUGAAGACGGGAGACUGGGACAGGAAGGUUAUCGUCUCUGUGAGAGUGGCCAUCAAUGACACACUCUUUGUGCUGUGUGCUAUCUCUCUCUCCAUCUGCCUCUACAAAAUCUCCAAGAUGUCCCUGGCGAACAUCUACUUGGAGUCAAAGGGCUCAUCAGUGUGUCAGGUAACUGCCAUUGGUGUCACCGUCAUCUUGCUCUACGCCUCUCGGGCCUGCUACAACCUGUUCAUCUUGUCAUUUUCUCAGAUCAAGAACGUCCAUUCCUUUGAUUAUGACUGGUACAAUGUAUCCGACCAGCAACACUGGCCAAGCCUGUCGCACAGGUGCAGCAGGGAGAAAGCAAGGAAAGGACGCUCAGGCAGAUCUGAAGAGCCAGCUGGGUGAUGCCGGCUACGUAGUGUUUGGCGUGGUGCUUUUCGUGUGGGAGCUCCUACCCACCACCUUGGUGGUUUAUUUCUUUCGAGUCAGAAAUCCCACGAAGGAUCUUACCAAUCCUGGGAUGGUCCCCAGCCAUGGAUUCAGUCCCAGAUCUUACUUCUUUGACAACCCCCGAAGAUAUGACAGUGAUGAUGACCUUGCCUGGAACAUUGCCCCUCAGGGACUUCAGGGAAGUUUUGCUCCAGACUACUGUGAUUGGGGACAACAAAAUAACAGCUUCCUGGCACAAGCAGGAACUUUGCAUCAAGACUCCACUUUGGAUCCAGACAAAGCAAGCCAAGGGUAGCAGCAGCUGACACAGCCCUAUGGAAGAGUUCUCUGUUGACAGCCUUCAGCCAGACAGACCGGAUGACAGCUGAGUUGCUAAGGCAGUUUUCCUUAGGAAACAGAACUCUAGUUUUUGCUAUAGCUUUCUCAUGGCUCCACAGGGCUAAGCAAUAAUUUAGAGCAAUAAACCCUUUAGUACUAGCAGAGAAUCUGGCUAUUUCAGUGGGUAUAAUUUAAACUUAUAAAAGAGAUUCUGUACUUUUAUAAAGAUGUAUUUUAUAUAACUUAAAUACUAAUGCUAAAGUAUACUAGGUUUUUCCUUGAUUGUUAAUUUGUUAAUUGCAACGUAUGUUGUAGUUUGCACAGACUUUCACGCAGAAUUCACUUUAAAACGUAUAGAAUGCGUGGUCUAAUAGUUUAAAGCUUUGGGAAAACUUUCCACAAAUCUUACCUCUGAAGGUUCCUCUUGUGAGUGCCACGUGGUGGGCUCCUUUCACCGCCACUCAAGCAUUCCAAGUUAAGGGGAAGCAGAGUACCACGGUCUGUACGUAACAGGCUCAGCAGCAGCAAUUUCUCGUAAACUCUGUCCUAAGCCUGGUCCUUCUUCAUCUGAAAGCACUACUACAAGCACUCCAGUAACAAGUGGAUACUGUUAAGAUGUAGUUGCUGACACUAUUAAACCUCCUCUGCUGUGUGUGUA